CAGCCGCCGCGGUAAUACGAAGGGUGCAAGCGUUAAUCGGAAUUACUGGGCGUAAAGCGUGCGUAGGCGGUUUGUUAAGUCUGUUGUGAAAUCCCCGGGCUCAACCUGGGAAUGGCAAUGGAUACUGGCAAGCUAGAGUGUGUCAGAGGAUGGUGGAAUUCCCGGUGUAGCGGUGAAAUGCGUAGAGAUCGGGAGGAACAUCAGAGGCGAAGGCGGCCAUCUGGGACAACACUGACGCUGAGGCACGAAAGCGUGGGGAGCAAACAGGAUUAGAUACCCCAGUAGUCCCUGUCUCUUAUAC
rnacentral:rRNA from 1 species